rnacentral:rRNA from 1 species
CUAAGAAUAUUCCGCAAUGGACGAAAGUCUGACGGAGCGACGCCGCGUGGAUGAAGAAGGCCGCAAGGUUGUAAAAUCCUUUUGCUGGGGAAGAAUAAGUCCAGGAGGGAAUGCCUGGAUGAUGACAUGAACCGGCGAAUAAGCCCCGGCCAACUACGUGCCAGCAGCCGCGGUAACACGUAGGGGGCAAGCGUUGUUCGGAAUUACUGGGCGUAAAGGGCAUGUAGGCGGUUUAGUAAGCUUGGCGUGAAAGGCCACAGCUCAACUGUGGGGUUGCGUUGAGAACUGCUGAACUUGAGUUACGGAGAGGGAGCUAGAAUUCCUGGUGUAGGGGUGGAAUCUGUAGAGAUCAGGAAGAAUACCGAUGGCGAAGGCAAGCUCCUGGCCAAUGAUUGACGCUGAGGUGCGAAAGUGUGGGGAUCAAACA